ensembl:lncRNA
UGAUUGUUGCCCCUUCCAGGGUGUCCCUUGCCUUGUGCCCCAAGUUUCCUGGGAUAGGCUCCAGGCUCCCCACGGCCCUGUGUAGGAUAAGCAGUAUGUAAAAUGGAUGGAUAGAUCUAACGUAUUUCAGGGUGAAGGUUUUUUUUUAUAAGGUGUAAGUGGGAAAUUAGAUUCAUAGACGUGAGACUGAGCUGCAAUGGCCAGAGAUUGAGAGCGCACACACAAACACACACACAUACACACACACAGAUCUGCAGGGACGAGGGAAAAUUGUAGGCUUAGCUUUGUUCUGGACUCUGGCUGCUAAACGCUAUCAAGACGUCACUUAAAAGCACAGGGUUUAGCAAGCAGAGCUGGAUAACCACUGAGUCUCGGACUAUGCUGUUGUGUAAUUCUUUGUCUUGAAAAUGAGCACACUUCAAUAUCCUGACUUUGUAUUGUGCAAUACCUUUGGAUCAGCAAAUAGACAUGCUAGUCCCUUGGUGUACUGCGACCUUUUUGAUGCUCCCCAUUGCUGAUGUAAUUAAUCACUAAAUCAAAACACCUGCACUCAUGGUAAAAAAAAAAGUGUGGAGCACAGCAGGUGCUGAGUACAGAGUAAUCAGUAAAUACUCUUCACUUCCUCUUGCAGCACACAUUCGCUGUGUAGUGUUUCCACUGCGUGUGCAACGGGAAUCUCUCCUCCAUGGCGAGUGUGAGAGCUGUGAGCUCUUCGAGAGGUGCUACUUUGUUGCUAAAAAUAUGAGGCGAGAUCACAGCUUAGAUGCUGAUGAUCAUGUGGGAGAAGUUCCUCACCAGCCUGCAGGGUUACAGGAAAAAACACACACACACACACACACACACAGUAUACUGGAUGAGAUGGUGCUGUGUGUGUGUGACCUGUGUACCUUCUGAGUGGCAAGAUGGGAAAUGUGGCAUGUUUGCAUGUUGGGUCACACUGUUAUACUACUUCAUUAUAAUAUUAUAAAAGCAAACACAGGAGAAGAAAUCUGAGAUUCAGUUCACUAAUAUUCAUCCACAAAAGUGCUGAAAACACAGAACAGCCUCAAAUUCCAUCAAUAAACGUUGAUGCUGAAUACUUAUAUGAAAUUGUUUCCAAUUUCUUCCAUCUGUUCUAAUAUGGGAGUAUUAGAGGAAAAAACAUUGUGAUUUAUCAGUUGACUAAAUCAAUGUAGCGAUUAGAAGUUAAAUAAAACUAAUUAUAUCACAUUGCUGUUAAAUUCUUGAUUCGGAUUGGCCAGAAGGUUCAUUUCCUAUUUUCUACAGCAGCUCUGCAAUUCAGAUCACAGGUUUAUAUUAAUACACUCAAUCUGAUAUGUUAUCGUUUCUGUACUAAGAUCAUACACAGUAAUUACUGAUGUGUGUUGAAGUUUUCUUUGUGAAGACAUUCGCACCUCUACUGAUGUAAUUCAGCAACUCCCCAUAGACUUCCUUUGUAAAUGAGCUUCAAGUAAACAGGUUUUAUGUGCGUGUAUCCGAACAGGAAAAUGUGUUGAACUGCAGGUUUGCGGUAAUCACAUCUACGCUGCUGAUGAGGAUUUGGAUUGACUAGCAGCUUAAAGACUUUGGAUUUGACUUGUAAGUGACUUGACUCAGAGGUUACUACAUCGAGCAGGGAGGCUCCGUGUGGCACUAAAUCACCAGCAGCAGAAAGAGAUGUGUCUGUCUAUGUGUGUGAGGUCGGUGCGCCGCGCUAAAUAUACAUCAGAGUGACUGUAUGGAUUGCUGUUGUGCAGAAGGUGGGUGACGCCCACACUGUUAUACAAUGGGAGUUACGUAAUUGUGAGAAAUCGCCUACUAGUGUCUCCCCGUUUUUCUUAUUUUUCACUGUUUCUGACAUUCUUGGUUUUCUCUUCCUCCUGUAAAAUGUGUUGUGUUUCAUCCUGGCUGUCAUUGUCUGUGAUGGGCGUAUGUCAUUUUCUCUUUUUAUUUCUUUCUCUGUUUCAAUGAGACAUAUCCAUGUGAGGAAGGAUUUCAAAUCAGUUAUGGAUGGGAGACUCUGGAACAGCGGCGGGAUCAUGAGCUCAUCUGCAUCUACUUUUCAUUCAUUCUUUCCUCCGUGUAUGUACUGUUGCUUUGGAAUUUCUAAUGACAUAAGUAGUGUGACAUGUGGCGUGAUCACCAAAACUGGUUUGAUUAUAUCAGCCAAACCAAAUCUGUAGCAUUUGCAUUGCACUUCAAGCUGAGGCGAGAGCUGAGAUGUACAUGGCCAACAGCUUUAGGCAUUUUGCGUUAUGAUUCCAUGCACAGUCAAUGGGUAUAUGCAGGGUUACAUAAUGUCACAACUGCAAGAUGUCUGACCUUCAUUUUGACUUUGAAAGCUUGAAUAGGUUGUGAAGUGAUGGACAGCAGUCCAUAUGUGGAAAAGUAUUUCAGCAGAACAAACUGAAUACAUGCAGAAAGGUACAUGAAAAAUAUACUGUAACAAAAACCUGAUAAAUGUAUUUUUAAAAAUGUCCACAGUUCAGCAACUAUAUAUAUUUUUUAUAAAUAAGAAGCAGCACAGCUUGAUAUUUAACCAAUCACAUACUUUAUGUAUUUAUUAUUUAGCUCAAGGCAGCCCAUUGGACUAGAAACCAUGUAUAGGGCUAGAGACAUAUGCUCAGAAAUAUAACACAGACAGACAGACUUUCAUAGAUUUUUCAUUAUAUUUUCCUUCUCUGGUCUGAAUAGCCACCUUACGACAUGGAUUGUUUGACGACACAAACAGAAUGUUUAAAAAAAAUAAAAUAAAAUAAAUAAAUAAAAGGUAGACAGAGAAGUGUGUGUUUAUUUGUCUUGCUAGAGGCUGACCGAUAAUGGAUUUUACCAGUACUGAUAACCAAGUUGGGCAGCACCUGCCGAAAACUAAUUCAUCAACCGAUAGUUUUUAAAACUGAUUGAAACUGAAUGAAAACUUAACUCAAAGUAAAAUAUUGCUGAACUGUAUUACAAAAAUAAACAAUACUGACUGUCGCAUGAAAAUGCACGGUCCUUUUUUUAAUGAAAUAAAUUUAUACAUCUUAAUAUAUAUUAACUAUUAAUAAAUAUUAAAGUAAAUAAAAGAUAAACAUCAAAAAUGAACCAAAAAGUAUCACUGCAAAUAACAAAUAAAAAUAGAGACAUCCAAAAUGAAUAAUAAUUAAAUAAAAAAACACACUUCAAAUAACACAACAAAAGUGGUCAGUUUUUAUUUUGCCUCUAGAGGCCGCUGUCGUAUUGUAUAAUAACAGCGGACUCGUCUCAGUCGCUCCCGCUACGGACACAACUGGGAAAAAACUAUCUGUGUGGAUUUUUGCAGAUAAUCGAUAGUUCCAGCAAUCGGUUAUCGGUGUCGAUUAAUCUGCAAAACCAAUCAAUCGGUCGACCUUUACUUUGUGCAUGAAAUUCAGAGCAGACAUCUCAUUUGUUCGUAGUCUGUGG